GCACACAGCGACGUUAGACAACGACACACUGAGUGGAGAUUUUUUUUAGUUGCAUGUUGGGGGCGACGAAGAGAGACAGAUUGUGUUAGCUGGGAGAGAGCGGAGGCCGCACUCCAACCCGCGGCCUCUGCAGCCAGGACUACAGCCUCUGCAUUUAGGGGGCGUGUCAUAACCACUAGGCCAUUCGGCGCCCCUAUAGAAACAGUUUUUCCUGGGGGCACUGGUGGCGCAGUGGUUGGUGUGCACGCCCCAUGUAUGGAGGCUAGCCUCCAAGCGGGUGGCCCGGGUUCGAAUCCUACCUGUGGCUCCUUUCCUGCAUGUCAUUCCACUCUCUCUCUCUCUGAUUUACGACUCUAUCCACUGUCCUGUCUCUACAUUAAAGGCACAAAAAGCCCCCCAAAAAAAAGAUGAGAUCUUGCAACAAACAAAUGUGUGACGGCUCGUGGUCUACUGUACGUCCAUCUUUGAAUGUUUGACCGUCAUUGCAUCGGCAAGUUUACGACCCAGUAUCUGUAACUCUGCAGCUUAAAAACAGGAAAUAACAGACGUGAAAUAACCUUUAAGAUACUUUCAAUCCGACAGUGAACUGUGCAGAGGUGUGCAGUAUUAGCGAGCUACACAUGCACAUUUAACACACCUGGAUUUUUCUAUCCUUGUGGGGACAUUCUGCACAUUUUCUCCAGUGAUGGUUAACGUUAUUGAAAAGGUAGCUUUGUAGCGUGCAGCUGUAGGAAGACUUUCUUGCUCCACCAGCUGGGCGUUCCAUUAGUGUUUGAUGUCAUGUGAAUGUGUGACAGUCACAGAUCCCUGUGUGUGUGUGUGUGUGUGUGUGUGUGUGUGUGUGUGUGUGUGUGUGUGUGUGUGUGUGUGUGUGUGUGUGUGUGUGUGUGUGUGUGUGUGUGUGUGUGUGUGUGUGUGUGUGUGUGUGUGUGUGUGUGUGUGU